CCUACGGGAGGCAGCAGUGGGGAAUAUUGCACAAUGGGCGAAAGCCUGAUGCAGCAACGCCGCGUGAAGGAAGACGGUUUUCGGAUUGUAAACUUCUGUUCUUAGUGAAGAAUAAUGACGGUAACUAAGGAGCAAGCCACGGCUAACUACGUGCCAGCAGCCGCGGUAAUACGUAGGUGGCACGCGUUGUCCGGAAUUCCUGGGUGUAAAGGGAGCGUAGGCGGGAAGCCAAGUCAGCUGUGAAAACUACGGGCUUGACCUGUAGACUGCAGUUGAAACUGGCGUUCUUGAGUGAAGUAGAGGUUGGCGGAAUUCGGAGUGUAGCGGUGAAAUGCGUAGAUAUUCGGAGGAACACCGGUUGCGAAGGCGGCCAACUAGGCUUUAACUGACGCUGAGGCUCGAAAGUGUGGGGAGCAAACAGGAUUAGAUACCCGAGUAGUC
rnacentral:rRNA from 1 species